AGCAUCAAAGGAAGAAAAUAAAAAGAGAUAUGGAGAAACAGGUGACUGGGAUGAAAGAGGGCAGAUAUUGUGCUCUUGGUUUAACAGUAAAUGUGUUUCUUAUU